rnacentral:hammerhead_ribozyme from 1 species
CACUGCUGAGGAGUCCCACAAUAGGACGAAACGGCCGUCCGGGGC